rnacentral:rRNA from 1 species
CCUACGGGUGGCAGCAGUGAGGAAUAUUGGUCAAUGGGCGGAAGCCUGAACCAGCCAAGUAGCGUGCAGGAUGACGGCCCUACGGGUUGUAAACUGCUUUUAUACGGGAAUAACGCGCCUUACGUGUAGGGCUUUGCAUGUACCUUAGGAAUAAGCCUCGGCUAACUACGUGCCAGCAGCCGCGGUAAUACGUAGGAGGCGAGCGUUAUCCGGAAUGACCGGGCGUAAAGGGUGCGUAGGUGGUUUGGCAAGUUAGUAGCGUAACUCCAAGGCUCAACCUUGGAACUACUACUAAAACUGUUGGACUUGAGUGCAGGAGGGGCAACCGGAAUUCCUAGUGUAGCGGUGGAAUGCGUAGAUAUUAGGAGGAACACCAGUGGCGAAGGCGGGUUGCUAGACUGUAACUGACACUGAGGCACGAAAGCGUGGGGAGCAAACAGGAUUAGAUACCCUAGUAGUC